CGGGGUGUAGCUCAGCCUGGUAGAGCACUGCGUUCGGGACGCAGGGGCCGUAGGUUCAAAUCCUAUCACCCCGACCA
rnacentral:tRNA from 2 species